GCACCCUAGAUAGAGGAACAACACCAGUUGUAUCUUGCUAAGUCAUGUUAAAGCAAAUUUAACCUCGACUUUCCCCACCAGUCACUAGGGCUCUUCUUACUCCCUUCCCUGUAUACACUAGUUUGUGCCCAUUUAAUUGGCAGAUAAACAUGACAUCUGUCAAGCAAUCUUGUAUGUCUACAAUAUUUAAUCACUUACGUGAUUCUGAACAGCAUUCUAUUUUGGGUAACAAUUUGGAUAGGUAUUAACGUGCCAGAAAAGAGCCUAGUGAGAGAUGGCUAAUUCUGCUUUAGUUCACUUUUCAAGCAUUCACAACAAAUGGACACCUGAGAGCAGUAAUACUCUUCAGCAAUUUCUCAUGUAAGUGCUGUUGGAACAACUCUAAGAAAUAUCCUUGAAGAGUUUUAGUUGAGUUCCUAGAUGCUCUACAUAGACCUUAAUUACAAAGGAAAACAUUCAGCUGGAGAAGCAAACUAUUAGAUAGUUUGCACUUAGACUUCCUUUAGCAGCAGCAGGGCAACUAUUGCUCAAUACUACUUUUUCUGAAGAUUAACCAACGUAGCUAUCACACAUGACUUCCUCUAUAUGUUUUACUCACCAAGAUUAGGAGUUACUGCUGAGCAUGAACUUGAGAGAAGCAUUAUCAAGGUGAAGAAUUAAUACUGUGGUUUAUGGGAGCAGAAGCUUCACAUGAAUAAGGACUUCACCUGGCCACAUCAUAACAUUUAAUGAUUUCCCAUGGUGCCUU